AUUUCAGGGCCGUCCUCCCUGCUUCAGAGGCUCAGCCAGCUAUAGUGUUUAGAAGGAACCAAGCUGAGAACCUAGGAUGAAGACAGUUCAUUUCAGAAACCAUGACUCACUCCCAGUGGAUUUCAGUAGAUAACAUGGAGAAGACUUGAACCAGAUAAAUCUAUCCUAGAAAAGUGUACGGCAUAAUAACAAAACCAAAAGAAAUUCUUGAGACAGUGCUAAAAGAAACCAUCAUGAUGGGCGGAUCCAGACCUGCCAAGCCUACGAUAAAUCAUCCACCAAGAAGGGGAAGCUGAGAGCUGAAAUAACCUGGCUGAGGCCACGAAACAAGGGAAGUCAGCCUUCAGUGGCCUGGGGCACCUAAAGCCUUGGCUGCCCUGCCCAGCUUUAUCCUCUAUGACACGCUUGAGAAAUGGAGAGGAUGAAACGGAUGGAAUGGUGUGCACGUGUGCACGUUUACUCAUCCAAAGUUGCUGUUCAUCAACCUUUUUCACCCUGCGUGUGCAAGAAAUUAGUCUGUUGCCUGGCUCUUAACUGUCAAAACAAAUUCCUGCUAAACAGAGG
rnacentral:lncRNA from 1 species